UGUGGUUCCAAAAUCAAUAUACUAGGUGCUGACUACUUCCAAUUUUUGUGAUUUUUAUUGCCUCUUCCUGGUCCCAAUCAUCCAUGGCAGUGAAGAGGUGGUCAAUGAAUAGGGGAAAUGUGGGUGGUAGCUUUAUACCCCGAUAUUGAUCCUGCGGUACUGUCUUCAUCCUAAGGAUCAUGGUUUUGGUGUAAGACCUUAGUAGACAGUUGUUGCCAGUGUAGUGUUGGCAGUUACUGCAUUAGUAAACCUAACUCUGAUCCUACACAGAAGAUCCAACAAAAGGUGUUGAGUAAUCCAGAUAGCUGUCUCAAGGUACUUUGAGCCCCCUAUUGAAAUGCCGAGUGGUGACCCCCCCCCCCCCCAAAAAAAAAAACCCACAGAAGAGAGAACUUCGAAAAAUCACUCUUCCCCUUUAAACAUUUUGCAGGGAGACAAGCCACCUCCCCACCUGGCUUGAAUAAAACAAAAACUUGGUGAGACUGUCGAGUUUUUUUUUUUCUCUCCUUGUAUAUUAUUUGAACUGUAGAUGUACAUCCAGCAAAAAUAUCCUGUAUUCCUUGUUUUGGGUAUGGAAUACAAAAUGACUGUAUGGUCUGAUUAGGUGCCAGGUAUGAUACUACCAUGGGAAGAAUUCUGUGGCUGACCCUGUCUAGCUGUAUGAAACAGCAUGUAGGUUCUCUACAGAUGUGGGCUUGAAGCUCAGAGGCCUUCAUGUCUGAGUUAGUGCUCAUCAAAAUAGCCUUCCAAGAAAAGAGUGCCACUGAGCUCAUAAGGAUAGAGCACAAAACGCUGGUUUCCCAGAAGGCCUGACGUGGAGGAUAGAUUUUUAGGAACUGUUUCAGUGUUUGAGCAGACUCUGGAAGGUGCGUUGUAUUUGCGAACAGGUGUACCUUAACAGAAGCAUACGUCAGGUCACUGUAAGAGUUCCACUGGGUACUGCAAAACGUCUAUAUUUGUAUCUUUCAAGGGUAAAAUGCCUUUUCACCUAAUGUAACUGAUGAGGGUUUCUAAUGCUAGGCAUCUUGAUUUCUUGCAUAAUAGGUUUUUCAGGUUUGGAUACACCAGUGACUUUUUUGCUGUGUUGGGGGGGGGGGGGUUGCAGGCCUUUGGGAACCUACAGUAGUUGUCCUUUGCUCAUAGAGACCAGCUGGGAAAACUGAUUGCGUGGCCACAGAGGAGCAACUAGGUUGAGUCCAGCUUUCUUUUUUCCUCCCUUUUGCAACAUUUUGAAAUAGGAGGAAUGAGUGGAAACACACAAACGAGUCCCUCUCUUCCAUGGAGUGGAGAAUCUCUACACUGAGAACAAAAUUUCUUUAGCUGAUAGCACCAGUGCAAAUCUAAAUCUGUCAUUGAGAAUCCCAUAAUUCCAUUGGCCUUUGGAAAAUGGUGAGAUCCAACCUCCAUUUCAGGCUGUUGGAUUUGGACCUGCUGCCUUUGCUUUCAUAGCAGGGAGACUGUGGGAGGCCCAGCUGAAAGGCGAUCCAAGCUAUCAUUGCCAGUCUGCAAAGCGGAUAUGGGUGAGUAAGCUCCCCGUCAUUUAUAUAUCAUGUCUGCAAUCACCUUCAGUGCCCCACAGAUCCAGAAUGUCUUGAGAGACUUUUAAGGGUUUACAACAUUUUUAUCAUGGAGAAACUUCAUAUACCAUGUGUCUUGAAGUGGCUGGUGUGGGUGUCCCAAGGCAAAUCUGAGGUUUGUCUGGUCAGGGUCUAAGUACCUUCUGGUACUACAAAAGUCAUCCCAUGAUUGCUCAGCACCAUUUGAAUUCCAUCCAUGACUGGGGAGAUUAAGGGUAGCACCUUGUUGUCCAGUGGGUGACUGUUUUGCUCCCACACAUUUUUGGUAUACUAUCACUCCUGCUCAUGUCAUGUGCACCCUGCCUAGAUGAAUGCUGCCAUUUAGCUUAGGGCUUUCAAGAACAUUCAGGGUUGGCACAACCACCCUUUGGCCGAAGACUAAAAAAAAGGUUAAGCAACCUUGUCUUCUUCUUGUACUAGUUUGGUUUGUUUCAGUAUCUAGUAAGGCCCAGCGAAGAUGUUACUUGCAUUUUAUUUGGGUAGGUUCAUGGAUCUACAGUUUAGUCAGACAGUGAAUGGAAUACCUGAAAGCCCUCUGCAUUUAUUUCCACUGAUACUAAGUAUCUGGUAGAAACUCUGGUCACAUUGGAAGACCAAAAACAAGAUGAACUGAAAAUGUUUGGGUGCUGUCCUUUGCAUAAGUCUUUCUGAAUAGAAAGGUACAGAUGUACAUAAUUCAGACCUAGAGUAAACCGUGCCUGUGGUAAAAGUAGUGAGUGUAAUGCUUUUUUUCCUCAGAGGCCCUUGUUUGUUGUAACUGGUCAACGUCCCACUGUUUCCUAUAAAAGGGCUGCUGCUUUGGUGUGCAUUUCUUACUUUACAUGGGACAGAUGGAUAAAUAACUGUCUCCAUGGUCUUGUUGCUGUCCUUUCUCUUAAACAAUUCCUGGACAGGAGGACAAACAUCACAUUUUUAUCCAGAAGCUGCCGUUUAACCUCGUCUGGCAGGAGUUGCAGGCAGACGUGACAGAGAAUUCAUGUUUAUCUGUUACAUCAUACCCACCCACUAUGGCGUGCUCUUCCAUUCUAAGCAUUUUCUGAGUCUAUCAAGUAAUCCUGCCCUGCAGAAUCUUAUCUAGAAUCUCAGCUGACGCAUCCGUUAUAUGUUAAGAGGUUAUCACUGCGAUAUUUAAUUAUAUGGAUUUCCAAAGUGAGGGCCUACAGUCUUGUGGAAGCUGCCUAGACAAGGAGAGACAGACUAAUGACUGAGAGCAUCUUGUGACAAAAAAAAAAAAAGAAAAUGACACAGGCUGCUCUCCAUUUUAGCCAUGUGUUGGACUGACUUCUUGGACUAGGAACAGAGUCCAGCCCUCUGGGAAUGUCUGUAAACUCCUGGAAGUCGUACUGGAAGGGUGGAUGUCUGUCUGGUCCUUGUGACAAACUCUGUAGAGUGAUACUACCACAUAGGUAGCCAUAACCACACCCUGUCCUUGAGUGAUACUACCACAUAGGUAGCCAUGACCACACCCUGUCCUUGAGUGAUACUACCACAUAGGUAGCCGUAACCACACCCUGUCCUUGAGUGAUACUACCACAUAGGUAACCUGUCCUUGAGUGAUAACUACCACAUAGGUAGCCAUAACCACACCCUGUCGUUGAGUGACACUACCACAUAGGUAACCAUAACCACACCCUGUCCUUGAGUGAUACUACCACAUAGGUAGCCAUAACCACACCCUGUCCUUGAGUGAUACUACCACAUAGGUAGCCAUAACCACACCCUGUCGUUGAGUGACACCACCACAUAGGUAACCAUAACCACACCCUGUCCUUGAGUGAUACUACCACAUAGGUAGCCAUAACCACACCCUGUCCUUGAGUGAUACUACCACAUAGGUAGCCAUAACCACACCCUGUCCUUGAGUGAUACUACCACAUAGGUAGCCAUAACCACACCUUGUCCUUGUGUGAUACUACCACAUAGGUAGCCAUAACUACACCCUAUCCUUAUCUUUAGAGUGUUUUGUAUACCUCAAAAUGAUUGCUUAAACAUGUCCAUGGUUAUGGUUUACAUUUUAAUUUUGCUCAGUUUAUUGCUGUUGCUUUGAUUGUAACUUGAAAUGUUAUGUACAUUAAAUAAAAAUGAAAUAUAAUGGC